rnacentral:rRNA from 1 species
GAUGAACGCUGGCGGCGUGCUUAACACAUGCAAGUCGAACGAGAAAUGAUAUUACGAUCUCUUCGGAGUGACGGUUUUAUUUCGAGUGGCGGACGGGUGAGUAACGCGUGAGCAACCUGCCCUAUACCGGGGGAUACCAGUUGGAAACGACUGUUAAUACCGCAUAAGCGCACGAUAAGACAUCUUGUUGUGUGAAAAACUCCGGUGGUAUAGGAUGGGCUCGCGUAUGAUUAGCCAGUUGGCGGGGUAAAGGCCCACCAAAGCGACGAUCAUUAGCCGACCUGAGAGGGCGACCGGCCACAUUGGGACUGAGACACGGCCCAAACUCCUACGGGAGGCAGCAGUGGGGAAUAUUGCACAAUGGGCGAAAGCCUGAUGCAGCGACGCCGCGUGAGUGAGGAAGUAUUUCGGUAUGUAAAGCUCUAUCAGCAGGGAAGAAAGAAAUGACGU